rnacentral:sRNA from 1 species
UGACUGCGUACAGGUGGACGAUGUCGUCCUA